GUGCUCACUUCAGCAGCACAUAUACUAAAGUUGGAACGGUACAGUGAAGAUUAGCAAGGCCCCUGUGCAAGAACGAAACAAAUCAUCCCACAAUAAUGGCAUAUUUUA